UUCCUUGAACCGCAUGGUUCAAGGAUGAAAGACGGUUUCGGCUGUCACUUACAGAUGGACCCGCGGCGCAUUAGCUAGUUGGUGGGGUAAUGGCUCACCAAGGCGACGAUGCGUAGCCGACCUGAGAGGGUGAUCGGCCACACUGGGACUGAGACACGGCCCAGACUCCUACGGGAGGCAGCAGUAGGGAAUCUUCCGCAAUGGACGAAAGUCUGACGGAGCAACGCCGCGUGAGUGAUGAAGGUUUUCGGAUCGUAAAGCUCUGUUGUUAGGGAAGAACAAGUGCGAGAGUAACUGCUCGCACCUUGACGGUACCUAACCAGAAAGCCACGGCUAACUACGUGCCAGCAGCCGCGGUAAUACGUAGGUGGCAAGCGUUGUCCGGAAUUAUUGGGCGUAAAGGGCUCGCAGGCGGUUUCUUAAGUCUGAUGUGAAAGCCCCCGGCUCAACCGGGGAGGGUCAUUGGAAACUGGGAAACUUGAGUGCAGAAGAGGAGAGUGGAAUUCCACGUGUAGCGGUGAAAUGCGUAGAGAUGUGGAGGAACACCAGUGGCGAAUGCGACUCUCUGGUCUGUAACUGACGCU
rnacentral:rRNA from 1 species